UAACACAUGCAAGUCGAACGGACAAUUAUUUAUAGCCUCUGGCUAUAGGAAAUUGUUAGUGGCAGACGGGUGAGUAAUGCGUAGGAAUCUACCUAGUAGUACGGAAUAGCCAUUAGAAAUGGUGGGUAAUACUGUAUAAUCCCCGAGGGGGAAAGAUUUAUCGCUAUUAGAUGAGCCUACGUUAGAUUAGCUAGUUGGUGAGGUAAUGGCUUACCAAGGCUAUGAUCUAUAGCUGGUCUGAGAGGACGAUCAGCCACACUGGAACUGAGAUACGGUCCAGACUCCUACGGGAGGCAGCAGUGGGGAAUAUUGGACAAUGGGCGAAAGCCUGAUCCAGCUAUGCCGCGUGAGUGAAGAAGGCCUUCGGGUUGUAAAACUCUUUCAAUAGGGAAGAUAAUGAUCGGUACCUAUAGAAGAAGCUCCCGGCAAACUCUGUGC
rnacentral:rRNA from 1 species